GUCCCAGUGGAGUACACUAAUAUACAGCACAAUCGAACAAUUUGAUUCAAGAACCUUAAAAAGAGGAAAACGCUAUUCGGGCAUCCACCCGAGUUCAACUUUGUUAUUCAAUCGGAUGCCAUUCAGCAAAAUGAAAGAAGCAGUUAAUCAAAUUGAUUCCUGUGCGAUUGAACCACGACAUCAUGAGAGUUCCAAUUUAUAAUAACAACAGACAAGAGAUCAAUGUCAGGCCAGAAUCUUCCAUUCGUCACCAGAGUUGGAGCCUCAUCACACAAAUGGAUUACACCUCUUAAAGUUGGGAAAGAUCAAUUCUUGCUCAACAAAAUUGGCUGUUCAAUGUUCUAAAAUCUUAUAAAAUUU
rnacentral:misc_RNA from 1 species